GGCCUCUCUCCCAUGGGGCUCUGUGCAUCCCUUUUCUCCUCAGCCAGGGUUGGAGGCCAAGAUCGGCUCUCAAGGAUCAUUGUCAGGGCUGACUUGGGCUGGCAGCCUUAUUUUCCUGCCUCAGACAUGU